rnacentral:lncRNA from 1 species
CUUUCAGCUUGUGACGGACAUACGUUAAAGGCUCUCUCUGCAAAGGUUAAUUAGCAUGUGUUACCUAAGUAAACCUGUUUUGGGCAGUGUUGCCAGUCAAUUGCAAAGAAUCCUUUUUAUCUUAUUCGUUCUCAGCUGUUGGUACUAGGAAGGAGUGACUUCUUGUAACCAAGUGUAGGGUUAAACAGUGCUCUGAUCAUCCCUGACCUAGCUCCGGGAAAUCCAGAGGCGUGAUUUAGUCGGGCUCCUCUCAGCAGGCAUAAUAGCAUUUUGGUGACAUCUGGUGGCAGAUUCCUUGUUUGCCCGUAGUUACUACACUUCCUUAAAUCCGUGCAGCGAUGCAGGCACAGCCACCUACGGCUCGCUGUGGCGAAAGCAGAGGAGCUUCUUCCCUGAACGCAAUGCCUAUUUUAUCCCUUCCCUUUGGGGGUGAUUUAGUUGCCCAACAUUUCCCGUGGCUCCCUUGCCUUGAUCAAAGGGAAGGCUUGAAGGCAAUUCUUUAGCCCUUGAUAAGGAUCUUAAGGUUUGUUUUGAAGUUAGCAGCCCAUCAGCGAUGCCAAGCUGUGAUACUCAGGAAACCUGUUGUUCUAGGGUUAUAGGGGGAAGCAUUAUGGCCAAUAGAAGGAUUCCCUGCAAGAUUUCGGUUGCCUUGUCUUGCAUCUGCUCCCCUGGUUUUAUUUUGUUUUUAUUGUUGUUUUUUAGACUGCCUUCCUCAAGUGCCUGUGAUUCCAAAGGCAGCACAGCUGCAGUUCGAUUUCUCAGUCCUUACUGAACAUGCUAAGAAAACAGAUCCAAUGUGUUGGAAAUUAUAUGUGAGCAGACAAGUUAGACAAGCCCAGUCCACUGCAUUUUGCAGAGCAGAAUAAGAAACUUCCAACCUCCUGUGAUAAAUUUAGGGAGAGAAUGAAAAUACAAAAUUUAUUGGGAUUGUUGCCAACAAUAAUUGUCCUGUGAAUGUCUCUUUAGAGACAUGGAUUUGAACAAAGUGGAGUUUUUGGUGUGGAAAACUCUUAUUUGUGUGGAGAGGUGAUGGGUCAAGCUGCAUUGGCUUCAGUUGUACAAUUGCAGUAAGAAGCAUCCAGAAGUCCACUGUCAUUAGUUAAAGCAGCUGUAGUUGUUUUUCAUGUAGGCAGUUGCUGAGCUUGCCAGGCAGGUUUAUGUCGUUUCAAAAGAGAAAGGAGGCUGGAGUACAGCCUGAAGAUGGAUCCUGCGAUCCUGCACUUUGGUCUGGUUGGCCUCUGCUCCGGGAGAGGCAGGCAUCUGGUGGAAAGAGCAAGGGACAUGUAAUUCGUGCAUAGCCGCCUGCUCUCUGCACUGCAAGAGUGUGCUUGUGAGGGAAUAACAGCGUGGUGUAUGUGCAGCAGUAAAUCACUCACUUUAAAACCAGUAAAAGCCCAAGCUUGUCAUCUAAACGAGGGUUUGGUGCCCUGCCAGUGUUUUCCCACAUGAGACUAGCGAGAGAAAGGAAAUGGUGAUUUUUAAUAACAACCAUGAUUUAACAAAACAAAAGAAAGGCUCAUCUUUUAUCUCAGAGCUUUCUCCCUCUGCUGCGAGCCCAGUGGAUUGUCUGAGAAACUCAAAAAGGAAAAGAAAAAAAAAAAAGCGCAGUUACAUCUUUAAAACUGGGCAGGAGCAGCUUUCAUGUGAGGAAUGAGUGAGUAGAUGGGGCUCCUCAGCUGGGAGAGGUGAUGGCAGAAAUGGGAAGGUGAUAAACCCAUGGGCAGCAGGGAAUAAUAACUCUCCCCUCCUCUGAUGUAAGACCUGAGGAACUGAGAAAACCUCGCAUGCAGCAGAUAGAGAACAAUGAGGAGAUGCUUCUUCCCAUUUAGUUAAGUAUUGGAGAAGAGUGAUCAAUGUGUGUAUUUUUUUCUUUUAAUAUGUCUUCUACGCUUUUCCCACUUGUUUUCUUUACCUCUCGUAUCUGGUCAGAUCGCAGUGUCUCAGCCCUCAGGACAGGCAGUUUUGGUCUUCGGGAGUGUUGUGACUUGUUUGAGGAGUUGCUGUAGAUGCUGUACACCCGUUCAGCUACAGAAAAAGGGGGAGGGAGGUGCUUCUGGGGUAAAAAUAAUAAUAGAUCAUUGGCCUAUUUAUGACAGCCAUCUUUUGCACGUUGGCAUUUCCAACUCCUUCCUCUUUCUCAAGUUACUCCUCAAAGAUAAUAGGAUGUGACCAUGUCUGCCUAUCCUGUUGUACAGAAAGCUUUAAUCUCCUGUGGAGAAGUGUGUCCUGUGGCUAAGUGCAGAUCCCAUCAGGUUGUGAAUCUGCUCUUUGUAUCGCAACCGAGGCACCACGAAUUCCUUCUGUGAAAUGCUGGUUGUAAUUAAGGAAUGGUGAACAUAUGGAUAUUGGUGGAAUUUGAUUCAGUUUGCAAUGGAAGUCUAUAAAAAAAAAUAAAUCACAAGCUUCAUUUAAGCAGCCUGGCUAACUGCAAGAGCCAUUAAAAUAGCCGUAGAAGUAAUUUCAAAAUAACAGGCCAAAUGUUUGAUCUUUCAUCUUAGCAAAUUGCUGAACGGGUAUGGAAAAACAUCUUCUUACAAACUGUCUUGACAGCUAUCACAGCCCGUUGGUACCUAGAAAGCUAUUUCAGCUACCCUUCGUUGUCCAGCUCUGAUCUGGCUAAUGUGGGUGAGUGGUGUGUUUAAAUUUCUGCUGCCCCUUGCAGUUCUUGUCCUAGAGCAAACCAUUUAUGGUGCUCUGAGUGCCUGCAGUGGAGGAAACAUUUUAGUUCAAGUCAUGUGGCUGCUUUGGAAGCAAAUCUCAUGACUGCAGCCACGCACACAAUCACUGUGUUUUCAUUCAUGUUACAGAGCACUCCUGGAGCAUGUGUUCGGAUCCCUUUUGGAUGAAACCAGUGUAGAGACAUGCUCCAGCACUGCCCCUAAGCUGUGCUGCUCACUGCGAGGCAUUCAGUUCACAGGACCAGCCUGGAGCUAGCUGGCAGCAAGCCCCCCAAAUAUACGUGUAAUUUGUGUGCUGGCGGCACCUCAGCAACAGCUGUUUCAUGCUCCUGUUGCACAGCACUGUUUGCGAAUAUAAACACAGCUUAUCGUGUUGAAAAUGGUAUUACAACCUUCUUAGGGCUAAAUUAAAUUAGUUUUCAUCGUAUUUCAUUUUUAAAAUGUGCGUGUGUGUGCGUAUGUACGUUUAAUACAUCUUUCUUUCACUUUCUAGCAUUUCCCUCCCCAGAAUUAGAUUUCAAAUGCAGUAAUUGUCAGUUCUUCUCUAACAGCAAUAAGCAUAAGACAUCAUGUCAGUUCUUGUUCAUCUAUUCCCUUUUCUCAGUUCAUUAGUAUUAUUUAUUGCAUGGCCA